GAUGAACGCUGACAGAAUGCUUAACACAUGCAAGUCCACAUGUGGCGGCCGGGUGAGUAAAGCGUAAAGAACUUGCCUGACAGAUGGGGACAAAAUUUGGAAACGAAUGCUAAUACCUGAUACUGUGAGAGAGCUUUGCGUGCCGUUAGCUAGUUGGAGAGGUAACGGCUCACCAAGGCGAUGAGGGGUAGCCGGCCUGAGUGGGUGAUCGGCAACAAGGGGACUGAGACACGGCCAUUACUCCUACGGGAGGCAGCAGUGGGGAAUAGUGGACAAUGGACCAAAGUCUGUACCAGCAAGUCUGUGUGCAAGAUGAAUUUUUCGGAAUGUAAAGUGCUUUCAGUUGGGAAGCGGUACCAACAGAAGAAGUGACGGCUAAAUACGUGCCAGCAGCCGCGGUAAUUC
rnacentral:rRNA from 1 species